ACGGCUUUGAAAAUGCUAGAUUUUAAAUAAUUGUAAUAAAUUUGGUUAGGUUUUAAAGGAAGGCAAACAACUGGGGGAAGCGGCCCAAUGGGCCAUGCAUAUAACAGCGACUGUUGAUCCAGACGGUCCGGCCCUUUCUGCAGUAGAGGCCCACUUAGGAUUGAUUGGUUUAUUGGGCCCGUAGCUUUUGUCUAGUAUUCUAGUUUUUAUUUUUAUUUUCA
rnacentral:misc_RNA from 1 species